CAGCCGCCACGGUAAUACGUAGGGUCCGAGCGUUGUCCGGAAUUAUUGGGCGUAAAGCGUGCGUAGGCGGCUUCUUAAGUCGGAUGUGAAAUCCCUGAGCUUAACUUAGGAAUUGCAUUCGAUACUGGGAAGCUAGAGUAUGGGAGAGGAUGGUAGAAUUCCAGGUGUAGCGGUGAAAUGCGUAGAGAUCUGGAGGAAUACCGAUGGCGAAGGCAGCCAUCUGGCCUAAUACUGACGCUGAGGUACGAAAGCAUGGGGAGCAAACAGGAUUAGAUACCCCUGUAGUCCCUGUCUCUUUACA
rnacentral:rRNA from 1 species